rnacentral:rRNA from 1 species
UACGGGAGGCAGCAGUGGGGAAUAUUGCACAAUGGGCGAAAGCCUGAUGCAGCUAUGCCGCGUGUAUGAAGAAGGCCUUAGGGUUGUAAAGUACUUUCAUCGGGGAGGAAAAAACAAAACUAAUAAUUUUAUUUCUUGACGUUACCCGAAAAAGAAGCACCGGCUAACUCCGUGCCAGCAGCCGCGGUAAUACGGAGGGUGCUAGCGUUAAUCAGAAUUACUGGGCGUAAAGAGCACGUAGGUGGUUUUUUUAAAGUCAGAUGUGAAAUCCCUGGGCUUUAACCUAGGAACUGCAUUUUGAAACUGAAAUACUAGAGUAUCGUAGAGGGAGGUAGAAUUCUAGGUGUAGCGGUGAAAUGCGUAGAUAUCUGGAGGAAUACCUGUGGCGAAAGCGGCCUCCUAAACCGGAAUACUGACACUGAGGUGCGAAAGCUGGGGAGCAAACCAGGGAUUAGAUACCCGU